rnacentral:rRNA from 1 species
GACGAACGCUGGCGGCGUGCUUAACACAUGCAAGUCGAACGGAAAGGCCCCCUUCUGGGGUCCCUGAGUGGCGCACCGGAGGGUAAAGCGUGAGUAACCUACCCUUGCCUUUGGGCUAACUUAAGGAAACUGGGGCUAAUCUCGGAUCGGAGCUUCUGCUGCAUGGUGGGGGUUGGAAAGUUUCGGCGGUUUGGGUUGGACUCGCGGGUUAUUCGCUUGUUGGUGGGGUAGUGGUUCACCAAGGGUUUGACCGAUAGACGGCAUGAGAGGUGGACCGGGCACAUGGGUACUGCGAUACGCACCAGACUCCUACGGGAGGCAGCGGUGGGGAGUAUGGCACAAUGGGCGGAAGCCUGAGACAGCAACGCCGCGUGCGGGAUGACGUCUUUCGGGUUGUAAACCGCUUUGGCCGGUAACGAGGCGUGAGUGACGGUAAUGGGUAAAGAAGCACCGGCUAACUACGUG